rnacentral:rRNA from 1 species
GACGAACGCUGGCGGCGUGCUUAACACAUGCAAGUCGAACGAAGUGGCGAACGGGUGAGUAACGCGUAAUCAACCUGCCCUUCCGAGGGGGACAACAGUUGGAAAAGACUGCUAAUACCGCAUACUGAAGGAGGGGAUUGCGUCUGAUUAGCUAGUUGGAGGGGUAACGGCCCACCAAGGCGAUGAUCAGUAGCCGGUUUGAGAGGAUGAACGGCCACAUUGGGACGGAUGCACGGCCAGGACUCCUACUGGAGGCAGCAGUGGGGAAUCUUACGCAAUGGACGAAAGUCUGACGGAGCAACGACGCGUGAGUGAUGACGGCCUUCGGGUUGUAAAGCUCUGUUAAUCGGGACGCGGUACCGGAAUAGAAAGCCACGGCUAACUACGUGCCAGCAGCCGCGGUAAUAC